UACGUAGGGACCAAGCGUUGUUCGGAUUUACUGGGCGUAAAGGGCGCGUAGGCGGCAUAUUAAGUCAGCUGUGAAAUCUCCGAGCUUAACUCGGAACUGUCAGCUGAUACUGAUGUGCUAGAGUGCAGAAAGGGCAAUCAGAAUUCUUGGUGUAGCGGUGAAAUGCGUAGAUAUCAAGAGGAAUACCUGAGGCGAAGGCGGGUUGCUAGGCUGACACUGACGCUGAGGCGCGAAAGCGUGGGGAGCGAGCAGG
rnacentral:rRNA from 1 species